GAUGAACGCUGGCGGCGUGCCUAAUACAUGCAAGUCGAGCGAACAGACGAGGAGCUUGCUCCUCUGACGUUAGCGGCGGACGGGUGAGUAACACGUGGAUAACCUACCUAUAAGACUGGGAUAACUUCGGGAAACCGGAGCUAAUACCGGAUAAUAUAUUGAACCGCAUGGUUCAAUAGUGAAAGACGGUUUUGCUGUCGCUUAUAGAUGGAUCCGCGCCGCAUUAGCUAGUUGGUAAGGUAACGGCUUACCAAGGCAACGAUGCGUAGCCGACCUGAGAGGGUGAUCGGCCACACUGGAACUGAGACACGGUCCAGACUCCUACGGGAGGCAGCAGUAGGGAAUCUUCCGCAAUGGGCGAAAGCUUGACGGAGCAACGCCGCGUGAGUGAUGAAGGUCUUCGGAUCGUAAAACUCUGUUAUUAGGGAAGAACAAAUGUGUAAGUAACUAUGCACGUCUUGACGGUACCUAAUCAGAAAGCCACGGCUAACUACGUG
rnacentral:rRNA from 1 species